rnacentral:rRNA from 1 species
GAUGAACGCUGGCGGCGUGCCUAAUACAUGCAAGUCGAACGCACAGCGAAAGGUGCUUGCACCUUUCAAGUGAGUGGCGAACGGGUGAGUAACACGUGGACAACCUGCCUCAAGGCUGGGGAUAACAUUUGGAAACAGAUGCUAAUACCGAAUGAAACUUAGUGUCGCAUGAUACGAAGUUAAAAGGCGCUUUGGCGUCACCUAGAGAUGGAUCCGCGGUGCAUUAGUUAGUUGGUGGGGUAAAGGCCUACCAAGACAAUGAUGCAUAGCCGAGUUGAGAGACUGAUCGGCCACAUUGGGACUGAGACACGGCCCAAACUCCUACGGGAGGCGCAGUAGGGAAUCUUCCACAAUGGGCGAAAGCCUGAUGGAGCAACGCCGCGUGUGUGAUGAAGGCUUUCGGGUCGUAAAGCACUGUUGUAUGGGAAGAACAGCUAGAAUAGGGAAUGAUUUUAGUUUGACGGUACCAUACCAGAAAGGGCGGUA